rnacentral:misc_RNA from 1 species
CAACCCUUAAGCCUAGCUUAGUGUUGGGAGCCUACUGCUUUUGUUAGCUGUAGCUCCUGAAAUACAACGGCGGAUCUGCGAUAUCCUCUGAGCGUAGUAAUUUUUAUCUCGCUUUUGACUGGAGUUGCAGCGUCUUUAGCCGCUAAACCCCCCAAUUUUUAAAU